GGGGGUACAGCUCAGCGGUACAGUGUGUGCUUAGCAUGCACGAGGUCCUGGGUUCAAUCCUCAGGACCACCA
rnacentral:tRNA from 1 species